ACUCAAAUGAAUUGACGGGGGCCCGCACAAGCGGUGGAGCAUGUGGUUUAAUUCGACGCAACGCGAAGAACCUUACCCAGGCUCGAACGGCAUCUGACAUUCUACGAAAGUAGGCUCCCGCAAGGGCAGGUGUCGAGGUGCUGCAUGGCUGUCGUCAGCUCGUGUCGUGAGAUGUUGGGUUAAGUCCCGCAACGAGCGCAACCCUUGUCUUCUGUUGCCAUCAGGUCAAGCUGGGCACUCUGAAGAGACUGCCGGUGACAAACCGGAGGAAGGUGGGGAUGACGUCAAGUCAGCAUGGCCUUUAUGUCUGGGGCCACACACGUGCUACAAUGGCCGGUACAAACCGUUGCGAGAUCGCAAGAUGGAGCUAAUCGGAGAAAACCGGUCUCAGUUCGGAUUGUAGGCUGCAACUCGCCUGCAUGAAGUUGGAAUCGCUAGUAAUCGCGGAUCAGCACGCCGCGGUGAAUACGUUCCCGGGCCUUGUACACACCGCCCGU
rnacentral:rRNA from 1 species